GAGAGCAAAGCAGACAAGAUGUAGGCAGGGGACUGAUAGUUCUGGUGGCGGAAUCCACCACUGGAAGAUUUCGAACAUAGAAUAGUUGAUGAAUUUAGGAUGAUAGAGUCCGUGCCCAGCGAUUGUGUGAUCUGUUGAUUCUAAACUAAGAUUGUCGGGUGUAUUCCAUUCUGCAACGAUUCAACUGAGCGCCAGUGAAAGCUCCUGCUUCCUGACCUGCUUGAGUUCCAGUCUUGACUUCCUUUGGUGAUGAACAGCAAUGUGGAAAAUGUAUGUAUUUUACUUCAAAAUGAUCCAAACUUAUAUUUUAACCAAACACGGGGGAAUUUCAUUGCUGCCACAUCUAGCAGACGGCACAAAAUAGCACCUGGUUGGAGGAACUAAUUAGGGAUGUUUCUGCACAACGAAUCAGAAGAAUGAAAAGACGUGGAAACCUCUCCUGUCUGAAAUUCAAGCUCACACUCCUGUCCUCUGUUCCUUUCCUUAAAGCUCCACUGGAUGCGGGACUAUUUUUCAAAAUUAAAGUGACCAACACUGGAGAUAAAGUAGUUGGGAUUAAACCUGAAGGCUUAUUUCACCACACUAAAGGAAAGAAAGACCACUGUAUUGUGUCUUACGAAGGCCAUGGUAGGAGGAUGGAGUGUCUGCUGAUCUAUAUGAACAAGGAGCGGCUGGAAAACCAGAAACGUAACUUCUGGAAGUUGGAGCUAUCCAUCUGGCUUACUUACUGAGAACUGUAGGCACCCGCACUGCAAGCAUUAUUUAUAUACUAAGUAAUGCAUUUAAGAUUUAUGAGGAAUGAGAAGUCACACCACACCUAGAAGGGUGUGAACACGGAAUGCCUGCACUCAGGGAGAGAUCUGCGUCAGCUGUAUUUUUGAUCAAAAGUUGUUCCCAUAGUGACAACACUCUCCCCCUUAUCAGUAUUUCUUCUUGUUACUUGGUUACCAAAAUAUGAAAUGAAUACUGAAUGCAGGUCAUGAGCAUGAGAGCGAAUAUAAAGCUAACUAGUUAUCUAGGUCUAACUCUGUCAUGAUUUUUCUUUAUAUUUUUGGUGGUGGUUAAAUACAUAAAUAUAUUCAGUGGUCUAAGUAUAGAACCCAAUAUGAAGCCCACAGCCUCCAAAUGCCUAUUGUAACUUCCCAGAAGUUCACUGAGGUAUACAAACCUUAGGUCUAAUAAAUUCACUGUGUAAUUUUUUUAUUUACAUAAUUGUUAAAAUAAAAUUUAUUAAAAUGUA
rnacentral:lncRNA from 1 species